rnacentral:rRNA from 1 species
GAGUUUGAUCUUGGCUCAGAUUGAACGCUGGCGGCAUGCCUUACACAUGCAAGUCGAACGGCAGCACGGGAGCUUGCUCCUGGUGGCGAGUGGCGAACGGGUGAGUAAUGCAUCGGAACGUAUCCUGGAGUGGGGGAUAACGUAGCGAAAGUUACGCUAAUACCGCAUAUUCUGUGAGCAGGAAAGCGGGGGGACCUUCGGGCCUCGCGCUCUUGGAGCGGCCGACGUCGGAUUAGCUAGUUGGUGAGGUAAAGGCUCACCAAGGCGACGAUCCGUAGCAGGUCUGAGAGGAUGAUCUGCCACACUGGAACUGAGACACGGUCCAGACUCCUACGGGAGGCAGCAGUGGGGAAUUUUGGACAAUGGGGGCAACCCUGAUCCAGCCAUGCCGCGUGAGUGAAGAAGGCC